AUAAAGUCACUACAAACUGCACUUUAGAAACAGUGAUAGCCAUACAGUCGCAACUAAUUCACCAGAACGCUAUAGGCUAGGCUACAUAAAAGUUAGAACUUACAUUACUUGAAUAUUGCAGAUUGCUUUGGAAGUUGGAACGUAACUGCAGUGAGCCGCGUCCCAGCGCAGUACGCAGUACAGAAAGCAGCCAUGUAAACCGAAUAAACAUCAAGUGGAUUCACAGACUACAUAUUCCUAGACAGGGACUAACCUCGAAGAGAAACGUACUGGCUGACCCCCAAGCCCCGAGAGCAGAGUGGGGCCCCGUCCUGGAGAAGAAGGGUGUGUCUGCAGCAGGCUGGAUGUUUCACUCUCUUCUCUUUGUGCUCUUCUUCAUCUGCUGUCAACCUAAGACAAGAUCUCCAAAGAAUGGAACCAGAUAUUGGAGAAGCAGGGAUUGUCUGCAGUAAUACGGUGAGUUGAUGAUUCUUCUGCUGACACAUAAACAUCACUGAGUCAGAGGAAUGUGUUGCAGUAACCUAAGGGCUGCUCGGAUCUAUCCACAAUGCAAAGAGCUACGGCCUCACACAGAUGAGGCGUUCCCAGUGUUGGUUUCAUAGCGAGAGGAUAAAGCACAGACUGCAGGAUAGGUACAUGUGAAGGGCGUGGAUGAAGAUCCACAGCUCUGGAAAGAAAGGCUGCUGUGACCUACAAUCCAAUGCCUGGCAGACUCACAGUUUCCAAAUCUAUGGAGUCCGGGAUGUGCCAUAGACUUUUACACUGUAAUUAUAAUAAAUUAGUUGAUACAUUUUUUAAAAGCAUUAUGAAUGUAAUGUGCAUCUCAGUGAUGCAGUGAUAAACUCAAAGUAAAGAAUAUAUAGCUACA